CCCACUUCGGGGGUACUCGAGUGGCGAACGGGUGAGUAACACGUGGGUGAUCUGCCCUGAACUCUGGGAUAAGCCUGGGAAACUGGGUCUAAUACCGGAUAGGACCUCGCAUCGCAUGGUGUGGGGUGGAAAGCUUUUGCGGUUUGGGAUGGGCCCGCGGCCUAUCAGCUUGUUGGUGGGGUAAUGGCCUACCAAGGCGACGACGGGUAGCCGACCUGAGAGGGUGAUCGGCCACACUGGGACUGAGACACGGCCCAGACUCCUACGGGAGGCAGCAGUGGGGAAUAUUGCACAAUGGGCGCAAGCCUGAUGCAGCGACGCCGCGUGAGGGAUGACGGCCUUCGGGUUGUAAACCUCUUUCGCCAGGGACGAAGCGCAAGUGACGGUACCUGGAGAAGAAGCACCGGCCAACUACGUGCCAGCAGCCGCGGUAAUACGUAGGGUGCGAGCGUUGUCCGGAAUUACUGGGCGUAAAGAGCUCGUAGGCGGUUUGUCGCGUCGUCUGUGAAAUUCUGCAACUCAAUUGCAGGCGUGCAGGCGAUACGGGCAGACUUGAGUACUACAGGGGAGACUGGAAUUCCUGGUGUAGCGGUGAAAUGCGCAGAUAUCAGGAGGAACACCGGUGGCGAAGGCGGGUCUCUGGGUAGUAACUGACGCUGAGGAGCGAAAGCGUGGGGAGCGAACAGGAUUAGAUACCCUGGUAGUCCACGCCGUAAACGGUGGGUACUAGGUGUGGGGCUCAUUUCACGAGUU
rnacentral:rRNA from 1 species